CAAAGCAUAGCUUAAAUAAAAGCAUCCGGCUUACACCCGAAAAAUUUCAAUUACAUUGAAUGCUUUGA
rnacentral:tRNA from 2 species